CAGUCGCCACGGGAAUACAGAGGGUGCGAGCGUUAAUCGGAUUUAUUGGGCGUAAAGCGUGCGUAGGCGGCUUCUUAAGUCGGAUGUGAAAUCCCUGAGCUUAACUUAGGAAUUGCAUUCGAUACUGGGAAGCUAGAGUAUGGGAGAGGAUGGUAGAAUUCCAGGUGUAGCGGUGAAAUGCGUAGAGAUCUGGAGGAAUACCGAUGGCGAAGGCAGCCAUCUGGCCUAAUACUGACGCUGAGGUACGAAAGCAUGGGGAGCAAACAGGAUUAGAUACCCCUGUAGUCCCUGUCUCUUAUAC
rnacentral:rRNA from 1 species